UAUAUUCUGUAAGGACAUCAAUACUGAUGGGUAUGUGUACGCGCGACUCUAUGAGCGUUUUAAAUUUUAUUUUGAUUGAAAACUGUAGUUUUGAAGAACAUAAGUGAGGAUCUCUGGAGCUUGAGGUAUCCAUCAAGUUCAUCCAUCAAGUUCAUGACGAGCAACCCCUGAACUCAGUCGCGUGCCCCAUGGACCCGAAUAUCCUGUACUCUUGCAUCUAGGCAAUGAUUCUUCUUCAAAAAGGAGAUUUAAAACCCAGAACGCAUUGAGCAUGAUGACCACGCUUAAUGCUGAUGAUGCAGAAAGACAAGACAGAAUGGAUCUUCUCUGGCAGUUGUUUAAUGCAAAUGGAUCUCAAAGGUCAGGAAUGAGAAGAUGAAAACGGAAUUGAAGCAGAUUAAAUCAAGGCACAACACUGUCACCCAUGAGAGAAGGACAUGUGAGGAGACAGUAAGAAGAUUGGUCAUCUACAAGAAAAAGUGAGGUCUCACCAGGAACUGAAUUUUCUAGCACCUUGAUCUUGGACUUUCAGCCUCCAGAAUGGUGACAGAAUACAUUUAUGUUGCUGAAACCUCCCAGUCAGUGGUACUUAUUAUGACAGUCUAAGCAGACUAAUAUAACAGACCACCCUACAUUGUAUUAUCAGAAUUAUAUGCAUACAACAAUAAAUUCAUCUCAUGCUUUAAAAAUC